CCGGUUCCGGUUCACGCCCGACGCUUGCGCGGGCGACCCGGCGACC
rnacentral:ncRNA from 1 species